rnacentral:lncRNA from 1 species
UUAGAGUGUGUGCUAUAUGCAAGCUGUCAAAGCUGCUUUGUGUAGGUCUUCAAACUGUAUUUCAUGUCUUCCAGAAAGAUGAAGAUUUCAGGAGUUUGCAAGGAGUUUUUAAGAUCCUGCCCUGUUUCAGGUCUCCCAGAAGAAGAUGGCUGGGCAGGCUCAGCUCUGCUUUCUUGCUGGGCUUUUUUGGUGGCCUACGUCUCCAUUGGUGCACCUUGACUGCCCCGCUGAGAAGCUUUGGUGAGGACUUAGACCACCACUACAGAGCACCAUGGCAGAUCUUUUUUUUUCCUUUAAAUGAAAAGUAUGAAGUUUCCACAGGAAGCAGGAACAUUCUCCAAAAUUGUAAUUAUGUCAAAGAGAACACAUUUGGAUUAAAAUUCCUUAGGAGGUGGAUCUUUCACACAAGUGUUGGAUAA